CCUCCACGACGCCAGUCGGCGCUGGCGUAGCUCGGCUCAGCCCGGCGGAGUCUGACUUCCGGAGGGCCAGCGGCGCGCUGGCUGGUUACCAAGGUUACCGCCGAGAGGCCGCGUCCUCAGCUGGUCCUAGACAUGCGUGGCGUCGGGGCUGUGGCACGGUCGGGUCCGGGGACACUUGUUUAACAAGACAUCUGCCCAUGUCCCUGGCCCAUCUCAUUGGCUGCAGCACAUCACAGUGGACCUUCUGCCUCCUCCCAGAUGCCCAGGGACAGUGAUCUGGAAGGAAGGGGCUUGAGGCUGUUUUCCUAGAACUCGACUUGAAUGCACCAAGGAAAGGCCAUUUGUGGGGACAUAGCAAGAAGGCAGCUGUCUGCAAGCCAGGAGGAGAACCCUCACCAGAAACCUCACAGAAAUCGGCCAACACCCUCAUCUCGGGCUUCCAGCUUCAGAACAACGAGAAAACAAAUUUCUGUUGUGUCCUGGUUCCCAUUUGUAAUUGGCACCCUAAUGAAACCGUUUUCUGUAGCCCUGGAAAUGGCUGAAAAUGAGGGGAGGGAAAUAAAGUGCUAUAAUUCAGAGCAUGGAGCACACCUUCCUGGUUCACCUGAGCUGGAUUCGGAGAGGUAAAAUGGCCAUUACCUCGUCUAAGCUGCCACUUACAGACACAGUACAGGAUGAGGCCCAGACCCACAGAGACAACGAUGAUGGCCACAGCUAAGAUGAUCCAGAAAUUAUUCCUCCACCAGCUCAUUGCAGUGGAAUCCUGAGAAGAAUGGAGAGAGAAGAAUGAGAGGGCAAAAGCAGAUGGCUACACCGAGAACUCACGCCAGCCCAACACACUUUGAUCUCGAGGCCUCUGGAAGGGAAGGUGCCUAAUGAACUACUGAAAGCCAGAGAUGCAAUGACAAAGCAGUCGUACCAGGGCCCCAGGCUGCAAUCCCCUGGCCCAGUGCUGAUCGGUGGCUCCCAGGGACACGCCCUGAUGCCAGCGCUGGCAGAUGUCUGCUGUGAAGAGAGCAGGAAACUGUCCCUUGGAAAGCUGAGAUGCUUACCUGAACUGUGAAAGUAUCCAUAUGUGAGCAGCUAAGGAGACAGCAGUGGCUGGAGUGCUGCAGCUCAGGCACAGCUGGUGAGAGGCAUUCCUCACUCACAGGCCUUCACCCACUGCUAGAGACAGUGAGCCCCAUCCUGACCACUUCCCCUUUCUAGUCAGCCCACGGGGCAGAGACCCUGGCGUCAUCUCUAGGCAACCAUCCCUUUUCCAGGGAAGCUCAUGACCCACGGCUGUCCAGAAGCCAGAAUCUUCUCACUGCCCCGUGUCGCUCCCGCAAGGCCUACCAGAGGACCCUCAUGGUGUGGUAGGGGGUCCUGGCAGGGGCCAGGGGCCAGGGUGGAGACUUGGCAGUGGGGGUGGGUUUGGUGUCCCCACAGACGAGUUUGCCGUGAGCAUUCCUGGAUGUGGCAACCUCAGUCUCAAGAAGAGCGACAGGACGCCAGCUCCCAUGCAGAGACAGAUCCAGGUAAGAAACCAGCUCAUGUGUGACAAACUCACCAUCUCACCAUGAAGGUGACUCUUGAAAGCUCCUGUGCACCUUGGAACUGCUGAGACAUCUUCUGCUUGGAGGAGGCAAGGGACAGGCUUCCUGUUUCUAAAGGCGUGUGAGUGGCGACCUUGAGAAAUGUGGCCAGUGGAGCAUUUUGACUGAGUUGGGUCCCCUCGUGCAAUACUGUGAGACAGAACUCCCAGCGAGGCCCACGGCCUCUGACCAUGGGGGUUGGAGUGGGGAAACCAAUUAGCCAUUUUGUUGAAUUGGCUGGUUCUGACUCAAAUGAGCAGUCACAUUAGUAAAAAUAGGCAAACGGAUGUGCAUUGUAUUUGCCCAGAGCGAAUGAGUUGUUAUCCAUUUCAGUAAUAAUGAUAACCAGAUAUGUCUGAUAAAUAUCUGAUAAUGUCUGAUAUAUGUCUGGUAAAUUUAACAAACACCGGGCUCUGGCUGGGUGCGGUGGCUCACACCUGUAAUCCCAGCACUUUGGGAGGCCAAGGCGGGUGGAUCACCUGAAGUCAGUAGUUCGAGACCAGCCUGGCCAACAUGGUGAAACCCCAUCUCUACUAAAAAUACAAAAAUUAGCUGGGCAUUUUGGUGUGAACCGGUAGUCCCAGCUACUCAGGAGGCUGAGGCGGGAGAAUUGCUUGGACCCGCGAGGUGGAGGUUGCAGUGAGCCAAGAUCACACCAUUGCGCUCCAGCCUGGGCAACAGAGCAAGACUCUAUCUCAAACAAACAAAACAAAACAUCUGGCUCAGAAGAUUCCUGAUUUGCA
rnacentral:lncRNA from 10 species